ACAGUUAGAAGAAAUGUGCACGGAAGAUACUGCAUACCACUAUCUACAUAGGAGGUUUUCUAUUGAUGAAGUCUCGUUCUAUCGCCCAGGCUGGAGUGCAGUGGCGUGAUCUCAGCUCACUGCAACCUCCACCUCCUGGCUUCCAGUGAUUCUCCUGCUUCAGCCUCCUGAGUAGCUGGGAUUACAGGCGCCUGCCACGACGCCUGGCAAAUUUUUGUAUUUUUAGUAGAGACAGGGUUUCACCAUGUUGGCCAGGCUGGUCUUGAACUCCUGACCUGACUGAGGCAAUCUGCCCACCUCGGCCUCCCAAAGUGCUGGGAUUACAUGCGUGAGCUACUGCGCCCAGCCAAAUCUAUUUUUUAAACAAUAGAACCCCUGAUUUAAUUGAUACCUGACAUGGAAGUCUAACACUCACAGCAGAUAAAGUGAAAUUGCUAUGCCUAGAAUGUGUGUGGGAGUGUGGGGGGACAAGAGCCCUUUCCACUCAGCUCUCUCCCUUUUCUCUGUGCCCUCCGCAAUCCCUGCAGCCCUGGAGGGCUUUGAAACACUUGAAGGAUCCAUUGGACACAGACUGAAAACCACUAAUUUCUAAGUCCUAAUGGAAAACUACUGAGGGUUUGAGCAAGAGUGUUAUUUAAUCCAAGCACUAUUUUAGGAAGAUAAAUCUGACAAGAUGGAUUGUAGAGAAGCCAAGAAGCAGGGAGACCAAUUAAGACAUUAUUGAAAAAAUUCAGGCCAAAUUAACAUAGGUUCCGGGGAAUGACUGAAGGUGGGGGUAAAAAGAGAGAGACACCUGGGAUGGCUUCAAGGUUUAACGCUGCACGACUGCAACAUUAAUUAAUAGACUGAAGAUAUCUGUAAGGUCUCCUGGAUCAUCCCUCUUUUAUGGGAGGCAAAACGUCUCCAAAAUGACCACAAGGUGCCUCUGUUCUUUAAGAGGGCAGUCAACUGUUUAACACUUUUCCAAAAAUGUACAUUUUACCUCAGUUGAUAAAUUAUAUGUGCUCCUUAACAAGCUUGUUUAGAAAGUUGUUUGUUAUGGAACUGACUUACACAAACCAUGCAUGCUGUUUGUAAUUAAACCUACCUAUGCAUCUGGUACCAUCUGGAGAGGUGUAAAAACCAGGGGGACAUUUGCAAAAGUAACUGCUGACUGUGUUUGUACAUUCGCCCCCAUCACAGAUUCCAGGAAUGGUGCUGCAUUCAUCAAUAUCUGGAAUAUAAAAAAAAGAAUCUCAGCAUUUGUAGAACACAAUAUAAAACCAUUCGUCAGUAGAAGGAUUCAGAUGUUAACACUAGUCAAAUCAUGUCCCUGGAAACAGCCAUCAUUAAAAAGUAAAAACUGCAUGGAGAACAGUCAAUUCAAAGGUAGAUGCUGCUUCUUUCAACACAGACUUACCCAAAAGAUUUACCAAAUUCAACAGAUUAGGGCAAAAUGAAAUCACCCCCCUUUAAAAUCUAAACCUGUGUACUGUUGUUUCACCAAGUAACUAUAGCAUGUUAAUGUUACAAAUGUCAUUUAUUUUAAAAUUUUGUUUUCCUUUUGUUUCCAUGUUUUGCAUUAAGUUAAACUCUCCUACUAAUUAUUUUA